rnacentral:tRNA from 1 species
AGCUCAGUUGGUUAGAGCGCACGACUGAUAAUCGUGAGGUCGGCAGUUCGAGUCUGCCC